rnacentral:lncRNA from 1 species
AUGUUUGACGUGAACUUGUGGCGACAUCAAAAACCUGCAGAGACCAAAAAAAAGAUAUUUUGUUUGUUUGUUUUCCUCAAAAAUUGUAGACAGACACUGACUCAUGUUCCUCUAAAAAAAAAAAAAAAAAAAAAAAAAAAAAGAAAACAGACUGUUGAUGUUGUUGUUGUACAUGUUAUUUCUAAUGCUAGCUGUGGUUGCCAUGGUAACCUGACCCGACUGUUGCCGCCCUGCAGGUUGCUGUUGUCAUUGCUGUUGUUAUCGUUGUUGCUGCUGGAGCUGUUAACGUGUUUCUAUGCUUCUGUGUGUGACGCCGAGGCUGCAGACACACACACACACACACACACACACGCACACACACUGGGAGGACGGUAAUAAAACUAUUUUGUCCUGUACAGUUUGUUCUGUCUCAUUUAUGACUUUUGAAUGCUAAGCAUGCCUGGCUACAGGAAACCUUUUAGCUCAAACUUCUAGCAUACAUGUUGAGUGCUUGUGAUGAGUUACCCUUAGUUAAAAAACAAUAAACUUCAGAUUUAGAAAUGUAAGAAUUCUGAGAGGAAACGCUCGCUGAGAGAAAGUCAUCUGUGAUUUCAGAUGAUUCAGAGAGAAUAUGCUGACUCAUCAGUGAUCACUCAGAUGCCUGAUCGAUGAAGCAGCCUGCUGGCACAUCAGUGUGAUGACUGCGCGCACAGAGCACAAAAUCAAUAUGAUUUCUCCAUUAGCUCAAAGUAAAGCACUGACUGAAAAAUCAUUUAAAAACACCAGAGAGUGUUAGAUCUGAUUUUAUUUCAUGUAUAAUGUUCUUUAUGUUUAAUUAGAUCUAUUUUGUAAUUGUACUGUACAAAAGUGUAGAUGGAACUUCCCGACCAGGGGGCAGAAUUUUACCACAAAAUUGUGGGUUCCAAUUUCUCAACACGAAAGGCUCUCUUUAUUUUGUUUUAGCACAUACAGCUUUGUUGUUGAUGGGGGUUUUUAGGAGAACUAGGAAUUUGCUGAUUGUUGCAUUGUAAGUGUGGUUAACUGCUGGCAUAGUUCACAGAAAGGUGCCUUACUACCACUGAAAUCUCCAUCCUGUCACUCAAAAACAUGAAGAAAGAAGCUUUUACCUAAUUCAUUUUUAAUGGUUUGAGCUACAGCUCCACCAAGGCUCUGUUUAGUCUGGACUAUCCUAAAAACACCCCUAACGAAAUAGGAGGGCCAGGGGUUCUCAGUAUAUUUACUCACUACACCCUCUGGUUACAAACUGGUAUUGCAUGCUGUAAGGAGUUUUCCUGUAAUGCAACUCAGAUUGGAAUAAAUGACACUCAGACAGGUUUUACAAAUUAACGUGCACGGGAGAGAACCGGACAGGCGCCGUUCCUUCGCUUGACCUCAGUUGCUCUCGUCUGCUCUCCCGUAACACUGCUCUUUUAUUGUGGUUACAUGAAUAUGCAUAGGUUCAUUAACAUAUGACGUAUACCGUGUGUGUGUGUGUGUGUGUGUGUGUGUGUGUGUGUGUGUGUGUGGUCGAGAUAUGACCCCGUGAAGACUCCCCAAAGCUGGUGCCAGGAGUCUAGCGGUCCAUCUAAACAAAAGGCACUUAGACUAAAACAGAUAUAGAUACGUUUAUCCUACCAUAAAACAAUAAGACAAGGUACGACCUCUCCCAUGCUCCCAGGAUGUGGGUGUGAAAGUCAGAGAGCUCUGGAAUGCACACAAAGCUUGCACAACGUAACUUCUCUAGUAAAAAAGAGCAAACACAUCUAGAAAACCUUAAAUGAAAUGUACUUCUAAACAUAAACAUAAUAAAAUCUUUCAACAUUCCCUCCUGUUGUUUGAUCUUUUCUCCUAUAUAUAUAUACACAUAGCAACUCACUAACACUGUAUCAGUCUAUGGCCACUUGUAAAACAUUUUUAGCCAGGACAUCAUUAAU